GGUUGAAUUUGAUUAACGCGAAGAACCUUACCUUUGACAUGUCGAGAGUGGGAAAAAAUGGGGUGCCCUAAAGGGGUCGGGGACACAGUGGUGCCAUGGCUCGUCAGCUCGUGUCGUGAGAUGUUUGGUUUAAGUCCGCAACGAGCGCAAACCCCUUCAUUGUUGCCCAGCCGCUAUGGUGGGCACUCUAAAGGACUGCCGGUGCCAAACCGAAGAAGGGUGGGACGACGUCAAGUCAUCAUCGCCCUUAUGGGUAGGGCUUCACACGUCAUACAAUGGCGCGUACAGAGGGUUGCGAACCGCGAGGCGGAGCCAUCUCCAGAAAGCGCGUCGUAGUCCGGAUUGCAGUCUGCACCUCGACUGCAUGAGGUCGAAAUCGCUAGUA
rnacentral:rRNA from 1 species